AUGCGGCACUGGCACUCGGCUUCCGUUUCCACUGUGACAGACGGAGGUCUCCUUUCUAGCCCCAGCCCAGCGGCCAAGCCCAUCCUGGCCUUAGAAGAUGCUGAGCACAUUCUGGUCAGCAGGCAGACACAGGGCCAAGGCCCCUCACCUCAGGUGGGGGCUCAGUCGGGGCCCCUUCCACAGACAGCCCUGGCCCCUCAAGGUGGAUGGUGAGGCCGCUGCUCCUCCAGCUGCCUCCGUCUCAUCGCAGGCCAGAGUGGAAAGCGUUUCAAACCCAAGCCUGUGUUCCUGUGUGUGUUCUAUGCAGCAAGGCUUAAAAGUUUCAAGCUGGUUUGGAACUCAUCCAGGUCCUCCAAAGGAAACCAAGGCAGGCACAGGAUGGGUGCAGACUGGCUUGGCAGGCAAAUGUGCCGAUCCACCCAGAGUGCCUUGGGAGGCAGUGGGGUUGGCUCUGGCUCCUGUGAACUGCAGCCAGGCCUCUCCCGGUACCCAGGGUCCGGAAGGAGGACUUCUACAAAUUUUAUCACCCAGGGACUGCGAAGGCCUGGAGCCCUACCUUCCACCCAUUAACAAAGAAAAGGACAGUUUCAGAACUGCUUUUAUUUGGAUAACUGACUGA